UACGGAGGAUCCGAGCGUUAUCCGGAUUUAUUGGGCGUAAAGAGCGCGCAGGUGGUUGAUUAAGUCUGAUGUGAAAGCCCACGGCUUAACCGUGGAGGGUCAUUGGAAACUGGUCGACUUGAGUGCAGAAGAGGGAAGUGGAAUUCCAUGUGUAGCGGUGAAAUGCGUAGAGAUAUGGAGGAACACCAGUGGCGAAGGCGGCUUCCUGGUCUGUAACUGACACUGAGGCGCGAAAGCGUGGGGAGCAAACAGGAUUAGAUA
rnacentral:rRNA from 1 species